rnacentral:rRNA from 1 species
AACGAACGCUGGCGGCAUGCCUAACACAUGCAAGUCGAACGAGACCUUCGGGUCUAGUGGCGCACGGGUGCGUAACGCGUGGGAACCUGCCCUUAGGUUCGGAAUAACUCCCCGAAAGGGGUGCUAAUACCAGAUAAUGUCUUCGGACCAAAGGUUUAUCGCCUUUGGAUGGGCCCGCGUUGGAUUAGCUAGUUGGUAGGGUAAAAGCCUACCAAGGCGACGAUCCAUAGCUGGUCUGAGAGGAUGAUCAGCCACACUGGGAGUGAGACACGGCCCAGACUCCUACGGGAGGCAGCAGUGGGGAAUAUUGGACAAUGGGCGAAAGCCUGAUCCAGCAAUGCCGCGUGAGUGAUGAAGGCCUUAGGGUUGUAAAGCUCUUUUACCCGGGAUGAUAAUGACAGUACCGGGAGAAUAAGCGCCGGCUAACUCCGUG